GAAUAAAGUUUAGCAACUCCUUUUUCUUGGUAAUAGAAAUAAUAUUGAGGGGAGAAAAAAGUAAGCAUAUAAAUGUACUGGAGAGGCGAUGAGGGAAAUUAGGACACGAAUAGCGUAUUUAAAGAGAAAAAUUCGCAACGAAAAACAUAUUCCUCCACUCGUUUGAUUUGCAGUUCCUGACAGAAUGGAAAGUUCAGCUUCGACGAGCAAUGAAUAUAAAAAACAACGAAAUGUUGUUCCACGUCGAUUAUUCGACCCCGAAUUUCUUACAUCAUGUAAAAGAAAGAAUCUCACUACGAAAGAACUAAUCAAUAUAUUUGCCAAUGGAUUUUAUCCACUCCAGUGAAAAACAGGCUACACACAAUAUGUUUUUUUUAAUAAUUUUUUGUAUGUAUAUUUUUGAAUGCUAUGU
rnacentral:misc_RNA from 1 species